AUUUUUUCCCUUACCGGGGACAACACAAUCCCCUUCAUAUUUCAUUUUCUUCUGAGGUACAGAGUACUGCUGUUGAUGGUUUAUGCUAUAAUCAUCACUGUACUGGUUGUCUUGACAAGAACUGUACUCCACAAGGUCCAAGAAUAAGGUUAAGCAACAACCAAGAAGCUGCCUCAUCUUCAUCUUCUUCAUCCAAGGUUGUUUCCUCUGCAUCCCUCAUGAAUCCAUCAUCCUCCGUGGCAUCUCCAGCAUGAGUGAUCAUCACGGGACCUCCACCGCCAUGGUCAGUGUCUGGAGGGCCAUAAAUGGUGCCUAGAAGUGGGACACGGUGGUGGCGCCGUGCCAAUGGGUUGGCAGCGUGGAUGUCUGCGUCACAAUCAGCACAAAGAGAAGCUGCAUCUGCAUUACCCCAGAACACAGCAGGAGCACGCUGGCAAGAGUCACACAACCACAUGUGCUCGUGAACGGAUGUCUCACGGUUUGUGGCAUGCAUGCAACCUUGAGAACUAGCACUGAGGUAGGCUGAGUUGGUCCGACAGUUGAUGGAGCAUGGCACCGAAUGGCAGGUAUGACAUACACUAGCCCAAUUAUGAGUUUUGGUGUUGGUGCUACCACCAAAAUCUAAAUCCCCACAGCUGCUUUCCUCUUUCGACAUUUAUGUUUAAGUUUCUUUUCAAAAAAAAAACACUUUCUUGUUCUCAAAUGUGUGUUUCGGGGGUCUGCUUGGGAGCUUGGGUUUGAACUUAUGGGCAAGUGAGGGAAGGGAAAUAACAGUGGUCAGUGGCCAACUACCAAAUUGAAGAGAGAAUCAGGAGACGACACUUGUCAGCAAACAAUGGGUUGGAAAAGUUGCUAUGUUAUCUUGUGGUUGGGUUUGAUUCUGGUGGGACCCAAGGUGCAAUUGGAUAUUCUGUCAUGUGGGUACGGGUAGCUUUGGCUUUUGGAAUCAGUUAAAAGUAGUUGCUUUGGGAGUUACAGCUCACAAUAGGAAUUCACAGUUCACACUCGCCUGCUCUCAUGUAGGCAACUUAAGCAUGUUUGGCAAGUGUAUAUAUGCUUCCAAGAAACAAGGAGACCUCUGCUUUUAGUACCUUUGUCUGCUUACUCAUGUAUUCUUGUUUUAACGAGGUUGUUUUCCUCGCCUAGUGACCCUAGCCGGCAAAGGGCCACAAGGAGGUAAACCGGCAUAGGUUACCCAUAGCUGACCUAUUCUUAUUUCUUACUAAUUGCGGUGCAGUAUUUAUUUAUCUUGCUGAAAAUGUUUUUAAAA